rnacentral:rRNA from 1 species
AUAUAAAUGGGGAGGGACCUCCGGGCCCCAAUUCUCACCCUCUGUCUACCCAACUUCGUUGCCUCGGCGGAAACGCCAGAGGACCGUAACCCCCCGAAUUCUUGCAGUCUGAGAGCUAUAUAAUAGUUAAAACUUUCAACAACGGAUCUCUUGGUUCUGGCAUCGAUGAAGAACGCAGCGAAAUGCGAUAAGUAAUGUGAAUUGCAGAAUUCAGUGAAUCAUCGAAUCUUUGAACGCACAUUGCGCCCCCCGGCAUUCCGGAGGGCAUGCCUGUUCGAGCGUCAUUACAACCCUCAAGCUCUGCUUGGUGCUGGGCUCGCCUCCCCGGAGGCCUGCCUCAAAAUCAGUGGCGGCCGCCGUCCGACCUUAAGCGCAGUACUACUCGCCGCUUGUAGGAUUCGGGUGGCACGCUUGCCAGCAACCCCCCAUUUUUCAAAGGUUGACCUCGGAUCAGGUAGGGAUA